rnacentral:lncRNA from 1 species
GCAGCGCGGAGCGGGAGGAGCGGCGCCCCGGCGGCGGCAGGCGGGUACAAGAAUAUACAAGGCUUCAGUCUGAAACCACACAUAGCAAACAUGAAUGACGUGUCACAGAAGGCAGAGAUUAAAGACAUGCUCGCUUCUGAUGAGGAAGAAGAGCCGUCUAAAGUAGAAAAGGCUUAUGUCCCAAAGCUCACAGGGACAGUUAAAGGCAAAUUUGAUGAAAUGGAGAAACACAGACAGGAAGAACAAAGGAAGAGAACAGAAGAGGAGAGAAAACGCAGAAUUGAGCAGGAUCUGUUAGAAAAGAGGAAAAUGCAGCGUGAAUUAGCAAAAAGAGCUGAGCAGGAAGGAGAUGACUCACUCCUUAUAACAGUGGUCCCUGCCAAAUCAUACAGAGCAGCUGCAAACAGGAAGGAUCCUGAGGACCUGGACAGAGAACACAGGAAUGGAAGGGUUAGUCAGGAAGAAGAAAAGACAAGACAUGAAGAAGAGUGCAGAGCUCUCAAAGAAGCAAAAUGCCUUUCAUUGGUCAUGGAUGAUGAAACAGAGGCCAAAAAAGAAUCACGUUUUCCUGGAAAAUUGAAAUCAACUUUUGAAGAACUGGAACGACAAAGACAAGAAAACCGCAAGAAGCAAGCAGAAGAGGAAGCAAGACGGCGCUUAGAAGAAGAGAGGCGUGCCUUUGAGGAAGCAAGGCGGAACAUGGUAAACGAGGAGGAUGAAAGCCAAGACACAGAAACGGUUUUUAAAGAGUACCGCCCAGGAAAACUCCGACUCAGUUUUGAGGAAAUAGAAAGGCAAAGGAGAGAAGAGGAAAAACGAAAGGCCGAGGAGGAGGCGCGAAGGAGGAUGGAGGAGGAGAAGAAGGCAUUUGCUGAAGCCAGGAGAAGCAUGGUAUUAGAUGAUGAUUCCCCAGAGAUUUAUAAAGCAGUCUCUCAAGAAUCUCUAACGCCUGGAAAACUGGAAAUUAAUUUUGAACAAUUAUUAAGACAAAAAAUGGAAGAAGAAAGACGACGAACAGAGGAAGAACGGAGGCAAAAACUAGAAAUGGAGAAACAGGAAUUUGAACAACUGAGACAAGAAAUGGGAAAGGAAGAAGAAGAAAAUGAAAGCUUUGGGUUGAGUAGAGAAUAUGAAGAAUUAAUUAAAUUAAAAAGGAGUGGUUCAAUUCAAGCCAAAAAUCUAAAAAGCAAGUUUGAAAAAAUUGGACAGUUGUCUGAAAAAGAAGUACAGAAAAAGAUAGAAGAAGAGAGAGCAAAAAGGAGAGCAAUUGACCUUGAAAUUAAAGAGCGAGAAGCAGAAAACUUCCAUGAGGUAUAUUACUGUUGUGUUUAAAUACAGAAAAGAGAAGAUGAUGAGGAAGAAGAAGGUAGCAUUGUUAACGGCUCCACUACUGAAGACGAAGAGCAAACCAGAUCAGGAGCCCCAUGGUUCAAAAAGCCACUAAGAAAUACCUCAGUUGUAGACAGUGAGCCAGUGAGAUUCACUGUGAAAGUGACAGGAGAACCCAAGCCAGAAGUUACGUGGUGGUUUGAAGGAGAACUACUGCAGGAUGGAGAAGACUAUCAGUACAUCGAAAGAGGAGAAACUUACUGCCUGUAUUUACCAGAAACUUUCCCCGAAGAUGGAGGAGAAUAUAUGUGUAAAGCAGUCAACAGUAAAGGCUCAGCAGCGAGUACCUGUAUUCUUACCAUUGAAAGUAAGAACUAAAUGGCUUUUGAUCCUUUGUUUUAUUAUGAAAUAAAUAGGAAAAAAUUAUCAUUCUUCUUCUUCUUCUUUUUUUAGUGGAUGACUACUAGGCUUCCUUCUUUACUUGGAUCUCACUCUCUCCAACUCUCUUGAUACAUCUCUGAGGAGGGGCCAA